UACGAAGGGGGCUAGCGUUGUCCGGAAUCACUGGGCGUAAAGGGCGCGUAGGCGGCUUUGUAAGUCGGGGGUGAAAGCCUGUGGCUCAACCACAGAAUUGCCUUCGAUACUGCAUGGCUUGAGACCGGAAGAGGUAAGUGGAACUGCGAGUGUAGAGGUGAAAUUCGUAGAUAUUCGCAAGAACACCAGUGGCGAAGGCGGCUUACUGGUCCGGUUCUGACGCUGAGGCGCGAAAGCGUGGGGAGCAAACAGG
rnacentral:rRNA from 1 species